rnacentral:rRNA from 1 species
UGAUGCAGCCAUGCCGCGUGUGUGAUGACUUCUUAGGUUGUAACGUCUUUCAGCAGUGAAGAUAAUGACAUUAACUGCAGAAGAAGCCCCGGCUAACUUCGUGCCAGCAGCCGCGGUAAU